UGUUAGGUUUGGUCCUGACCUUAGUGUUAAUUGCAACUAAAAUUAUACAUGCAAGUUUCAGCCCCCCUGUGAGAAUGCCCUAAGUAUUCUAUUAAAUAAUUAGGGGCGGGCAUCAGGCACACAUUUUACACGUGGCCCAAGACGCCUUGCUCAGCCACACCCCUAAGGGUUUUCAGCAGUAAUAAAUAUUGAUCAUAUAAGCGUAAGCUUGAAUCAGUUAAAGUCGACAGAGUUGGUAAAUCUCGUGCCAGCCACCGCGGUUAUACGAGUGACUCACAUUAACACUUCCCGGCGUAAAGUGUGAUUAAAGGAUAAUCUCCAAAUAACUACAGUUAUGACCUCAUCAAGCUGUUAUACGCACUCGUGAGUGGAAUAAUCAACAACGAAAGUGACUCUAAAUUACCAGAAAUCUUGAUGUCACGACAGUUGGGCCCCAAACUAGGAUUAGAUACCCUACUAUG
rnacentral:rRNA from 1 species